rnacentral:rRNA from 1 species
AGUGAACGCUGGCGGUAGGCCUAACACAUGCAAGUCGAACGGCAGCACAGUAAGAGCUUGCUCUUACGGGUGGCGAGUGGCGGACGGGUGAGGAAUACAUCGGAAUCUACUUUUUCGUGGGGGAUAACGUAGGGAAACUUACGCUCAUACAGCAUACGCCCUACGGGUGAAAGCAGGGGAUCUUCGGACCUUGCGCGAUUGAAUGCGCCGAUGUCGGAUUAGCUAGUUGGCGGGGUAAAGGCCCACCCAGGCGACGAUCCGUAGCUGGUCUGAGAGGAUGGUCGGCCACACUGGAACUUGGACACGGUCCAGACUCCUACGGGAGGCAGCAGUGGGGAAUAUUGGACAAUGGGCGCAAGCCUGAUCCAGCCAUACCGCGUGGGUGAAGAAGGCCUUCGGGUUGUAAAGCCCUUUUGUUGGGAAAGAAAAGCAGCAGGUUAAUACCCCGCUGUUCUGACGGUACCCAAAGAAUAAGCACCGGCUAACUUCGUG